rnacentral:rRNA from 1 species
CUGUUUCGAGAGGAUGACCCAGCCCACACUGGGACUGAGAUACGGCCCAGACUCCUACGGGAGGCAGCAGUAAGGAAUCUUCCACAAUGGACGAAAGUCUGAUGGAGCAACGCCGCGUGCAGGAUGACGGCCUUCGGGUUGUAAACUGCUUUUAUAUGGGAAGAUUAUGACGGUACCAUAUGAAUAAGGACCGGCUAACUACGCGCCAGCAGCCGCGGUAAUACGUAGGGUCCAAGCGUUAUCCGGAAUCACUGGGCGUAAAGCGUGUGUAGGCGGUGUGUUAAGUGAAAUGCGAAAUCUCGUGGCUCAACCAUGUAGACUGUAUUUCAUACUGGCACACUUGAGGAUGGCAGAGGCAAGUGGAAUUGGUAGUGUAGCAGUGAAAUGCGUAGAUAUUACCAGGAACACCAAUGGCGAAGGCAGCUUGCUGGGCCAUAUCUGACGCUGAGACACGAAAGCGUGGGGAGCGAACAGGAUUAGAUACCCUGGUAGUCCACGCCGUAAACGAUGCAUGCUAUUAGUGUGGGGUAUUGACCCCCUGCGCUGAGAAGCUAACGCGAUAAGCAUGCCGCCUGGGGAGUACGAGCGCAAGCUUAAAACUCAAAGGAAUUGACGGGGACCCGCACAAGCGGUGGAGCAUGGGGUUUAAUUCGAUGCUACGCGAAGAACCUUACCGAGGUUUGACAUCCUAGGAAUCCGGCGGAAACGUUGGAGUGCCUUCGGGAACCUAGUGACAGGUGCUGCAUGGCCUCUCAGCACGGU